GACGAACGCUGGCGGCGUGCCUAAUACAUGCAAGUAGAACGCUGAAGGAGGAGCUUGCUUCUCUGGAUGAGUUGCGAACGGGUGAGUAACGCGUAGGUAACCUGCCUGGUAGCGGGGGAUAACUAUUGGAAACGAUAGCUAAUACCGCAUAAGAGUAGAUGUUGCAUGACAUUUGCUUAAAAGGUGCACUUGCAUCACUACCAGAUGGACCUGCGUUGUAUUAGCUAGUUGGUGGGGUAACGGCUUACCAAGGCGACGAUACAUAGCCGACCUGAGAGGGUGAUCGGCCACACUGGGACUGAGACACGGCCCAGACUCCUACGGGAGGCAGCAGUAGGGAAUCUUCGGCAAUAGACGGAAGUCUGACCGAGCAACGCCGCGUGAGUGAAGAAGGUUUUCGGAUCGUAAAGCUCUGUUGUAAGAGAAGAACGAGUGUGAGAGUGGAAAGUUCACACUGUGACGGUAUCUUACCAGAAAGGGACGGCUAACUACGUG
rnacentral:rRNA from 1 species